CCUGUGUGAUGAUAAACAUAAGACUGACUUAAAUGUGAUGUCAGUUUAUUAGCUCUAGCUGAAC